UUGAGAAAGCAGACUGAUGAUAUCGUAUUCUAGUCUAAAAUGACCUCCAUCAAAGAAGCCUUUGAAAAAAUCAAGUGGGCCAUACCUCAGUUAUUUGAAAGUUAAAAUAUUGCUGUAUACUGCAGCAGCCCAGAUGGCAUUUAGUGAUAGCAAUGAUUUCAUCUUGGUUUAUUGUGACACCAAUUUCAGCAAAUCAAAAGUUGGAUGCUCUCUACCAUCAAGAGACAUUAUUUGGAAGACUGAGGACAAGACAGUCCACAUUUUCAAAACACUCCUGGUAACAGUUGUUUGAGUGUGCGUGAAAUGCAAAGGCUCAUCGGGCAAGCACUUGUUCAGGGGCUGCCAUUGUCUCCUCCAGGUGGCUCGCCAGUCACCACAGAAAACAAGUGUGUGCGUCUCCGACAUAAUCAUCCAGGUUGAAGCUCAGCACAUAAUGUCAAGGUAUUCAAUGUGGAUGUGUCCAUUAUGCUUCAUGCUGUAGACAGAGAAAUGGGAGGGCAGGAGGCAUAAAUGAUGUCGUUGCCAACACCCACAACUCAUUCACAUCACCUUUUAACACCAACAACCAAUAUACAGCACAAAGUCACGUGAUGGCCCCAGUGAGAUAUGCGUCAGCAGCCCUACUGGUCAAUUGCGUCCUAGCCCUUGCUGAGUACACAUCAAUAUUAUCUUUACUGUAGAGUGAUAGCUCAUAGUGGUUAUAAGAAUUAGUGAUACAUCGGAUUUAUAAAAUGUUAUUUGUGAAUUUAAAUAGUUUUGGUUAUAAUCAUUGUAGUUUUUAAUUAGACACUUGGAAAUAAACAGUUAUUGUGUAUCACACUAAUCAUGGAUGGUGGUAUGUUGCAAAAAAAUAUCACAAGAACUUUGUCCAACUGUAACAGACAUACCCUGUAAUCAGGAAGACAGUUCGGACGUGCCUAAACGGGAUAAUUCUCGGGCACCACAGAAUGAUUUGUUGACCAUUCAGAAAGGCCAACAGGAACAAAUUGCAUUAAUGCAAGAGAUGAUGCAAAAUUUUGCGCAUUUGAAGUCAGACGUUGAUCGACUUCGCAAACAAAUGCAAGAACCAUGCAAUGAGAGUGAAGACGAGUCUUCCUCAAUGCCAACGUCUGAUGUCGCUGACCAGGCCAGCUGCAGCCAGCCAGUUACGGCGGCUGGUAUAUAUUGCCGCGGCUUUGUCAUUGAGUGAAGCUAAAGGCUCACCAGUUUCGGGACCUCUUGCCAGUUUGACGGACAAAAUCAUUGACAAGACAAUGGAAGACAAAAAACGGAAUGAUUUUGCAGAUAAGUACCCCGUGCCAGAAAACGUCACAAAGUUAAAUCCUCCUAAAGUAAAUCCUGAAAUAUGGAGAAUAAAUCAAGCGAAAACGCGUUCAAAAGACGUGAAGCUUCAAAAGAUUCAGCAGUUCACACUAUGAGCUAUGGUGCCGAUCAUGCAGGUGAUUGAUAGCUUGGUUGCAGGACGGGAUUGCCAGGAGAGUUUGAAUUUCGAUGAACUUGUCACAAAAUUAGUGGAUGCCGUAGCACUGACUGCCGUGGGAAAUGCAGAUGCUAAUGCCUGCAGGCGUGAGUCAAUCAAGCGCGACUUGAACGAGGAAUAUCAGGCCAUAUGUUCCAAUACUAAUCCAGUCACACAGAUGUUAUUCGGAGACAAUAUAACUGAUCAGUUGAAAUCAAUAACUGAAUCAAACAAAAUUGGAUUCAAAGUACGUGCAUGAAAAUUCAGGCAGACACCUGACGCGAAAGACCGUACCUUCCGGAAAUCAGGCUCUUUUUUUAGGACAACGACCGUAUCCACAGCGUUAUCCUCAAACACAGAGGGGGAGGGGAUAUCCUCGAGGAGGACCGCACAGGGGACAGUCCAGUGCGACUCCCAAACAACAUGCCAAACAUUAACCUCAACCUGCAAUGUAGCUGAGGUGAGUUACUCUAACAUUAACUGCAUUAAAUUAGCAGGCAGACUAAAGCAUUUCGGUACCCAAAGGGAACAACUGACCACUGACAAGAGUAUUUUAGAGACUGUUUAUGCCUGUACCA